CGGCUGCGGCGAGCGCGGUGCUGAGGGCUCGGCCGCGGAGAGCCGCGCUGGAUUGAGCCUCCCGGAUCCCUCCAGGCUGAGCCCCUCCUCCCUGCCGCUUUCCUUCCUGCCUUCUCAGCCCUCCAGAGAGCUCCCACAGCUCCCUGCUGCAAGCGCGUCACGUUUUUUUAACAAUCACAGAGUGGUCCUUUCAUAUUCCCCCACGGGCUGAGGACCCAUUGAGACUUCAUAUUAUAAAUACUCUGAUAAAAUAAUCGGUUUAAUAAUAUAAAAGAGCUGGUUAUGAUUACAAGUAGAAAAUUGUGAAGUAUAAGGUAUAGGAAUGUCAGGAGUCCCGUGUGUAAAAUACGCAGCAGAAACCUCGACAAGAAGCUACUGGACGUCUUAUGUUUUGUUCAAGAAACUCUGGAAACCAUCAUGCAGACCAGUUAUACUGCUUGGAAACCCCUACCCUUCCCAUCUUGAUUGGAAUAUCAAGGAUUCCAAUCGGUAGGUCGGAGCUCAGUAGAGAUGCCCGAAUGUCUUAAGAACAUUCUCGGAGGAGUAAUUCCCUGUGUUCCUUGCACCAAAAUAAAGAAGUGCCUGCUUAUUCACAUUGUGCGGAAAAGCUGUGCUGUGAAAAGCCAGUGUCUGUAAAGGAGACGGAGGAGUCCUGCAAAUUUAUUCCAAUAAAGGGAGAGAGUACGCUGGGCUGUACCUCUGUGGAGUGUUUCACAAGGUUUUGGAGGGCACAGCCUCCUUUUAUCUUAAACUCAGCGCAUGUUGCUGUGUUCCUUUCUCCACUGGCUGAGGUACUAGGAAAGCACAGACUUCUGAACCGCCGACUAAAUAUGCAAGCAGGGUUAUUUUCCCCUAAAGUUCAGGCUUUCUGAGUUCUGCAAUAGAGUUUGUGCGGACCCCUUUCUCCUAUUACUGUAAAGCUCAGAAAGUCUGGGUCCAACUCUCUGGAUUCUGUAAUUUGCUCGGCUUGACGUUCGUAGAGACAUGAAGACCCAUUUCCCCUAAAGGCCCCCACAGCCAUUCUUGCAGAACCUGACUAGUUCUUUCAGUCAUUCCUGAAGACAAUAACACCCUAUUUCUCCUAUCAUUAGUGAAGACCCCCACCCAUCCAGUUGUUUGUGAAGAUAUUAGCAUAUAUAUUUCCUAUCAACAUGAAAUUGAUGUUGGAUAAGUUUCUUUUAUGCUAUUUGGUCAUAUAACUGGAGACUAAUAAAAAUUAACAGGAGUUAUCCCCGUGCA